rnacentral:rRNA from 1 species
AUUGAACGCUGGCGGCAUGCCUUACACAUGCAAGUCGAACGGUAACAGGUCUUCGGAUGCUGACGAGUGGCGAACGGGUGAGUAAUAUAUCGGAACGUGCCCAGACGUGGGGGAUAACGAGGCGAAAGCUUUGCUAAUACCGCAUACGAUCUAAGGAUGAAAGCAGGGGACCGCAAGGCCUUGCGCGUUUGGAGCGGCCGAUGGCAGAUUAGGUAGUUGGUGGGAUAAAAGCUUACCAAGCCGACGAUCUGUAGCUGGUCUGAGAGGACGACCAGCCACACUGGGACUGAGACACGGCCCAGACUCCUACGGGAGGCAGCAGUGGGGAAUUUUGGACAAUGGGCGAAAGCCUGAUCCAGCAAUGCCGCGUGCAGGAUGAAGGCCUUCGGGUUGUAAACUGCUUUUGUACGGAACGAAAAGGCUCUGGCUAAUACCUGGGGCACAUGACGGUACCGUAAGAAUAAGCACCGGCUAACUACGUG